GACAAAGUUUGAUGAAAUAAACAGAACUCCUUUGUCUUCUUUCAUCUGAGCAGGUUUUCCAGUUUCCAAACCUGAUGUGAUCUCCCAGCUGGAACAAGGGGAAGAGCCAUGGGUCUCAGACCUGCAGGGUUCAGAGGGAAAACAGACCCUGAGAUCUCGCUGCAGAGCAGGUGAUGCAAUGACAUGUGAGAAAGAGAAGCAGAAUUCUCAGCAAAAAAAUGUUCAGCAACUGGAUAAACACAGAGCAUUAUUGCAAAGAUCAAAAAGCAAUGUGUCCAGGAGUCAUGAGGAGGAAAAAUCCUGUGAGAUUCAGCACAGACCAGAAAGAGAGCAAGGAAACCAGCCAGGGGAGAAAUUGGGUAAACGUAUUUCCUCUCAGAGAACUCAGAAGGACCUCAAGGAAACCACAACAAAGCAGGAAAUCAUUGGAAAGAGAAAAAAUUCAUGCACAGAGUGUGGAAAAAACAUAUGUGACUACUCAGCCCUUCUUAAUCAUCAGAGAAUCCACACAGGGGACAGGCCCUAUGAAUGCCGUUUCAUCUAUUGGUAAAGCCACUUCUGAGAAGGGGACUUUUUUCACCCAUUAUGGGGAUGCUAGGAUAUUUACAAAAUUGUAAGUAACAUAACUGACUAUUGAGAGAGUGCUGAGUGAAGCUGCUUUGAAUGGAUCAGAGGAGAAUGUGAUGGGAGAAUCUCUUGUCUUGAUUCGGAAUAAUCAGAUGUAACCUGCUCUGGAAUUUCUCUUGAUGCUUUCAUUGUCAUGUAUUCUGUCUCUCUGUGAUGUGGGUUUCUAUCUUUCCUGAAGGCUGUUUGCUCAGCCAAUUGGAUAUUAAUUCAGUUUGAUAGGACGUAGCUCAGAUUUCUUGGAGAAUUACAGAGAAAUUAGGACUUUAGGAAAUGGUCAUUUGUCACUUCAGCUUUGCUUUUUCCCCACCCCUCCAUGAUGACACGGAGAAAGUUCAAGUGCAUUUCUGUCAACAGUGGAGAACUCUCCAAUUCACUGCACAUGCUAACAAAGAAACAGCAGUGAUUGAAAAUCUCCAUUUGGAAAUGGUGAACAACAGCAGAACCUCAAUUAACUGAAGGAAGUGCAUAUGAUCACACUGUAGUUCAAUUCUUUAAGUCAGUAUUUUCUCAGAUGAUUUGGGGAGAGAAUCCCACAUUAAGUGAUUUCUAACUUGGCAAAAUGCCAAUGUAUUUGGUUCCUGAAGCAUUUUUGUAACCCAUGCCCCACAGAAGAUCUUUCCUACCUAAUCGUAUGGUAUUCAGAAUGCUCUCCUUCAUGAUGCAGAUGUGGAGGAAAGAGAAGUGGUAUUUUUGUUGAAUUUAUCCUUAAUAGAUGCUCAAAAUGUGUAUAAAAUGAAAUCAAUGUUGGAAAUCUAAUAGAUGCAGAAAAAUAGCACUUGUAAAAUAGAAAUUCUAGCUCUGGUAACGAAGAUUCUGAUCCAGGCCUGUAUCCAGUCCUUUCUGCAAGAAUAUCCAAAAAAUAUUGUUUCACUUCAUAAAUACAGUUGUGUGGGAGUAAAUGAUGACCCUAAAGUUCUUUGCUUUUAUGAAACAAUGAACAAAAAAGUGUGGGAAAUAUAGAUGUAUCUGAGAAAAUGGCUUGGAAUGAAGGAAGACAAAAAUUGAUCAGUCGAGAGAAAAGGCACUGUUUCCCCCUGGUUUGGAGCUUCUCUCACAACUACUGGAAUAGAAAACCUAAGCAAAUGGUGUUCUAUUGUUGCAAAGGAGAUUGAAGUGAGGCCAUUUUCUCCAGAUAAAAGAAAAUGGUCAUGUCAGGAGUGGGAUUUGAAACCACUUCUCUGUGCAGAGACCAGAACACCUAAGAGAUAGGAAAAGAGAGUCUUAAAAUUGGCACUUUAGACCAGUCCACAAUCCUAAUGCUGCAAAGGAUGUGACUUAUCAACCCUAGUUUUCAUUAAUAUUUGAUGACACUCUUUAGGGAGGUUGAGAUGGCACAUCUCUUUCAACUCCUAGAGACCUUCUACAGCACAGCUGAUUUUUAGACACACUCAUCCGGACAUAAAGUUACACGUUUCUUGGAGCUCCAUGAGUUCUGCGGUGUUGGAAUCUCCCUGCUCACGUUUUAAGUGAACAAAAGAUGGUUGCUGGCAUGCUGAGAAAGUAAUGGUGACCCUCAAAAUCCUGCCCUGGGGGCCAGACAGUUAAGCAAACAGCAUCCACAACCUCUACUGUGAUAGCAUCCUGUCCGGCAACAGUUCACUUAUCAAGAGCUGGGGUGUGAAAUCCUCAUUUCUUUGUUCUAUCACUGUAGUCUCCACUUUCCUAUUGCUUGUCUGUAUAAUCUCUGUUUGGUUCUGUGAUUGUUUCUGUCUGCUAUAUAAUUAAUUUGUUGGAUGUAAACUAAGGUGGUGGGGUAUAAUUGGUUAGAUAAUCAUGUUACAAUAUGUUAGGAUUAGUUAGUUAAACGUCAGUAAAAUGAUUGGUUAAGGUAUAGCUAAGCAGAACUCAUGUUUUACUAUAUAGUCUGCAGUCAGUCGGGAAGUAAGGUGGGGAAUGGGAGUAGGGGUAGGGGAAUUGCAAUUAUGUUUUGCUAAGGUGGGGAAUAGGAACAGGGAAUGGGAACAGGGACACAGGCAAGGCUCUGUGGUGUCAGAGCUGGGAAGGGGGAUACUGAGGAAGGAAAUUGGAAUAAUUGCUUGCUGGAAAUUUACUCGAAUAAACAUCAAAUUGUUUGCACCUUUGAA